rnacentral:lncRNA from 1 species
AAAGAGGAAAAGAAAAACAAAAACAAUUCCCUUGCGAUAAGAGAUUAAAAUCUAGUGAUCAUGUAAAAUCUAAUAGUCAUUAUAUGUUAUAGAUCCUUCUCAUAUAUAUAUAUAUAUAUAUAUAUAUAUAUAUAACUAUUUAAUUUAGUGGUAGGUGCCUAUCCGUCACUUUCAUUAAUUUCCUUCAAAUCAAAGGAAUUUAUAAGGAGGAUCAGGGGCGGAGUCACAUUUGGACUGUGGUGGACGAUAGUCUGGAUGAAUCUGCUGCAAACCACUUCGCUCGCUCCUACGUCUGCGAGGCUAAGGCCACGGUGGCGCACCCGUCGAUGUAAAACGGUGAAGAAGUACCACAAAUCACUUCUUCAUCAGAUAAAUGGAGGGAGAGAGAGAGAGAGUUUAUGAGCUUAUACCUAAAAUAUUCUCAGACUGCUAAAUUGCUUUGUUUUCUCUCCAUAAACAAAUAAUUAACUUAAACUUUUUAAAAAUUGAAAUUGAAGGAGAAUAAUUCUCUACGAAUUGAGAUUAGCAAACUGAAUUGGAGAAGAAAUCGGAGCAAGGAAUUGUCACGAGAAAGAAGUAAAAACAAAUUUGAAGCAAGAAUGCAAGGGAUUGCAUCAAUUAAACUUCAAAUUGAGAGGCAAGCCAUGUGUUUAUGUAAGUUCAUGGAAAUUGAAAGUAUACAUAUGAUUGUUGAUAUAAUUGCUAUGCAUGGGUUGUGAAUUAAUGUAAAGGGAGUAUUGUUUAUGUUAUAUGGAGUAAUAAGGAAUGAUUUCAUGAAAUUUUUUAGUUAGAACCCUUCUAAAGUCUUAUGAAAUUCUGAAAUCUAAGUGUUGUAGGCAUGAUGUUUGAGAAUUUAUCUCAAAGAAGUUAAAAUGUGUAAAAUUGAGAAUUAGC